rnacentral:rRNA from 1 species
AUUGAACGCUGGCGGCAGGCCUAACACAUGCAAGUCGAACGAGUGGCGGACGGGUGAGUAAUGUCUGGGAAACUGCCUGAUGGUGGGGGAUAACUACCGGAAACGGUAGCUAAUAACGCCUACCAUCAGAUGUGCCCAGAUGGGAUUCGCUUGUUGGUGGGGUAACGGCUAACCAAGGCGACGACCCCUAUCUGGUCUGAGAGGAUGACCAGCCACACUGGAACUGAGACACGGUCCAGACUCCUACGGGAGGCAGCAGUGGGGAAUAUUGCACAAUGGGCGCAAGCCUGAUGCAGCCAUGCCGCGUGUAUGAAGAAGGCCUUCGGGUUGUAAAGUACUUUCAGCGGGGAGGCGUUACCCGCAGAAGAAGCACCGGCUAACGCCGUGCCAGCCGCCGCGGUAAUAC